GAUGAACGCUGGCGGCGUGCUUAACACAUGCAAGUCGAACGAUGAAGCCCAGCUUGCUGGGUGGAUUAGUGGCGAACGGGUGAGUAACACGUGAGUAACCUGCCCUUGACUCUGGGAUAAGCCCGGGAAACUGGGUCUAAUACCGGAUAGGAGCGCCUGUCGCAUGACGGGUGUUGGAAAGAUUUUUCGGUCAUGGAUGGACUCGCGGCCUAUCAGCUUGUUGGUGAGGUAAUGGCUCACCAAGGCGACGACGGGUAGCCGGCCUGAGAGGGUGACCGGCCACACUGGGACUGAGACACGGCCCAGACUCCUACGGGAGGCAGCAGUGGGGAAUAUUGCACAAUGGGCGGAAGCCUGAUGCAGCGACGCCGCGUGAGGGAUGACGGCCUUCGGGUUGUAAACCUCUUUCAGUAGGGAAGAAGCGAAAGUGACGUACCUGCAGAAGAGCCCC
rnacentral:rRNA from 1 species